rnacentral:lncRNA from 1 species
CUUAGGAAAUACUAAUAAUACGAGUUUGAAUUGAUUCAGAGGAGUUCAGAUGAUAGAAAGGGACGAGGUUCCAUUCUUCUAUAGGUUGAAGAAAGAA